rnacentral:rRNA from 1 species
UACGUAGGGUGCGAGCGUUAAUCGGAAUUACUGGGCGUAAAGUGUGCGCAGGCGGCUUCGCAAGUCGAGUGUGAAAUCCCCGAGCUUAACUUGGGAAUUGCGCCCGAAACUACGGAGCUGGAGUGUGGCAGAGGAAGGUGGAAUUCCACGUGUAGCGGUGAAAUGCGUAGAGAUGUGGAGGAACACCGAUGGCGAAGGCAGCCUUCUGGGCCAACACUGACGCUCAUGCACGAAAGCGUGGGGAGCAAACAGG